rnacentral:rRNA from 1 species
AGGACGAACGCUGGCGGCGUGCUUAAAACAUGCAAGUCGAACGAGGUCCAUGGAGUCGCAAGACUCCGGAAGACCUAGUGGCGAACGGGUGCGUAACACGUGAGGAACCUGCCCCAGAGACCGGGAUAACCCUCCGAAAGGAGAGCUAAUACCGGAUGUGCUCAUCGGAUCACCUGGUCUGAUGAGGAAAUGGAUUCCGCUCUGGGAUGGCCUCGCGGCCUAUCAGCUUGUUGGUGGGGUAACGGCCUACCAAGGCGACGACGGGUAGCUGGUCUGAGAGGACGAUCAGCCACACUGGGACUGAGACACGGCCCAGACUCCUACGGGAGGCAGCAGUUAGGAAUCUGCGCAAUGGGCGAAAGCCUGACGCAGCAACGCCGCGUGGGGGAUGAAUGCUCGUCGGGUUCGUAAACCCCUUUCAGGCGGGACGAUUAUGACGGUACCGCAGAAGAAGGACCGCAACUACGUGCCAGCAGCCGC